AGCGUACACGGUGGAUGCCCUGGCAGUCAGAGGCGAUGAAGGACGUGCUAAUCUGCGAUAAGCGUCGGUAAGGUGAUAUGAACCGUUAUAACCGGCGAUUUCCGAAUGGGGAAACCCAGUGUGUUUCGACACACUAUCAUUAACUGAAUCCAUAGGUUAAUGAGGCGAACCGGGGGAACUGAAACAUCUAAGUACCCCGAGGAAAAGAAAUCAACCGAGAUUCCCCCAGUAGCGGCGAGCGAACGGGGAGCAGCCCAGAGCCUGAAUCAGUGUGUGUGUUAGUGGAAGCGUCUGGAAAGGCGCGCGAUACAGGGUGACAGCCCCGUACACAAAAAUGCACAUGCUGUGAGCUCGAUGAGUAGGGCGGGACACGUGGUAUCCUGUCUGAAUAUGGGGGGACCAUCCUCCAAGGCUAAAUACUCCUGACUGACCGAUAGUGAACCAGUACCGUGAGGGAAAGGCGAAAAGAACCCCGGCGAGGGGAGUGAAAAAGAACCUGAAACCGUGUACGUACAAGCAGUGGGAGCACGCUUAGGCGUGUGACUGCGUACCUUUUGUAUAAUGGGUCAGCGACUUAUAUUCUGUAGCAAGGUUAACCGAAUAGGGGAGCCGAAGGGAAACCGAGUCUUAACUGGGCGUUAAGUUGCAGGGUAUAGACCCGAAACCCGGUGAUCUAGCCAUGGGCAGGUUGAAGGUUGGGUAACACUAACUGGAGGACCGAACCGACUAAUGUUGAAAAAUUAGCGGAUGACUUGUGGCUGGGGGUGAAAGGCCAAUCAAACCGGGAGAUAGCUGGUUCUCCCCGAAAGCUAUUUAGGUAGCGCCUCGUGAA
rnacentral:rRNA from 1 species